rnacentral:sRNA from 1 species
AAAUGAGGAUGUCCCUAUUUCAAUGAAAGAACUAAAACCUUUACAGAGAAAAACAGAUAAAAAGUUGGAUGACAUAAGUUCUAACUACACAGAAUCUUUCAGCACACUAGAUGAAAAUGACCUUUUAAAUCCAUCAGAAGAUAUAAUUGCAGUUCAGUUAAAAUUUAGAGCAUGUUUAAAGAUUCUCACAGUAGAACUUCGUACUUUAUCUACUGGCUAUGAAAUAGAUGGUGGAAAAUUGCGUUACCAACUAUACCACUGGCUUGAAAAAGAGGUGAUAGCUCUUCAGAGGACUUGUGACUUUUGCUCAGAUGCUGAAGAACUACAGUCUGCAUUUGGCAGAAAUGAAGAUGAAUUUGGAUUAAAUGAGGAUGCUGAAGAUUUGCCUCACCAAACAAAAGUGAAACAACUGAGAGAAAAUUUUCAGGAAAAAAGACAGUGGCUCUUGAAGUAUCAGUCACUUUUGAGAAUGUUUCUUAGUUACUGCAUACUUCAUGGAUCCCAUGGUGGGGGUCUUGCAUCUGUAAGAAUGGAAUUGAUUUUGCUUUUGCAAGAAUCUCAGCAGGAAACAUCAGAACCACUAUUUUCUAGCCCUCUGUCAGAGCAAACCUCAGUGCCUCUCCUCUUUGCUUGUACAGCCAAUGCCAAAACAGUAGUUGCCAAUCCAUUAUUGCACCUUAGUAAUCUGACACAUG